rnacentral:rRNA from 1 species
GAUUAACGCUGGCGGCGUGCCUUAUGCAUGCAAGUCGAACGGGUCACUUCGGUGACUAGUGGCGAACGGGUGAGUAACACGUAAGUAACCUGUCCCCAAGUAGGGAAUAACUCUGAGAAAUUAGAGCUAAUACCCUAGUGGUGGUGGGGGUAAUGCCCCAUCACUAAAGCCUUCGGGCGCCUGGGGAGGGGCUUGCGUCCGAUUAGCUGGUUGGUAGGGUAACGGCUUACCAAGGCGAAGAUCGGUAGCUGGUUUGAGAGGACGGUCAGCCACGCUGGGACUGAGACACGGCCCAGACUCCUACGGGAGGCAGCAGCAAGGGAUUUUGUGCAAUGGGCGAAAGCCUGACACAGCGACACCGCGUGGGGGAUGAAGGCCUUCGGGUUGUAAACCUCUUUUCUCAGGGAAGAAUAAUGACGGUACCUGAGGAAUAAGUCUCGGCUAACUACGUGCCAGCAGCCGCGGUAAUACGUAGGAGGCGAGCGUUAUCCGGAUUUACUGGGCGUAAAGAGGGCGUAGGCGGCUUUUCAAGUCGGGUGUGAAAUCUCCCCGCUUAAUGGGGAGGGGUCAUUCGAUACUGUUAAGCUAGAGGGCAGCAGAGGGAGGUGGAAUUCCCGGUGGAGUGGUGAAAUGCGUAGAUAUCGGGAGGAACACCAGUGGCGAAGGCGGCCUCCUGGGCUGUUUCUGACGUUGAGGCCCGAAAGCGUGGGGAGCGAACAGGAUUAGAUACCCUGGUAGUCCACGCUGUUAACGAUGGAUACUAGGUAUAGGGAGUGUCGACCCUCUCUGUGCCGAAGCUAACGCGUUAAGUAUCCCGCCUGGGGACACGGCCGCAAGGCU